rnacentral:lncRNA from 1 species
GUGUGAUAAAAGAGAGCGAGAGGAAAAGACUGUGAUGAAAAUUUCAUAUUAUCAAUAUGAACAACAUAAAUGUUUAUACUACAAGUGGUCUGUCAUAGUGGGAUGUUUAGCCUGCUAUUAAACCACGUUUAAACCAAUGUUUAAACCCAAUAUAAAAAAGAAGAUGUGAUAUGAUUGCCAAUGAGACAACUAUCCACAAAAGACCAAAAUGACAUAGACAUUAACAUUAGGUCACCGUACGGCCUUCAACAAUGAGCAAAGCCCAUACAGCAUAGUCAGCUAUAAAAGACCCCAAUAAGACAAUGUAAAACAAUUCAAACGAGAAAACUAACGGCCUUAUUUAUGUAAAAAAAAAAUGAACGAAAAACAAAUAUGUAACACAUAAACAAACGAC